ACACGGCCCCUGAAGUAGAAGUCCGUGGACAGCUUUGCUAUUAUUGGCAUUUUUAGCCCAAUAACCGCUGUUUUAAUCAACAUUUACUCACCAGAUCGUAUCAUGGUUUAUAUGCAUUUCUUUAAAUGUCAUUAUUUCGGUCUUAUUGCGAAGGAAA